GAUUCUAUCGGCGUGGGAUGGGGUCGCGUCCUAUCAGCUUGUUGGUGAGGUAACGGCUCACCAAGGCUUCGACGGGUAGCCGGCCUGAGAGGGCGACCGGCCACAUUGGGACUGAGAUACGGCCCAGACUCCUACGGGAGGCAGCAGUGGGGAAUAUUGCACAAUGGGCGCAAGCCUGAUGCAGCGACGCCGCGUGAGGGAUGGAGGCCUUCGGGUUGUAAACCUCUUUUGUUUGGGAGCAAGCCUUCGGGUGAGUGUACCUUUCGAAUAAGCGCCGGCUAACUACGUGCCAGCAGCCGCGGUAAUACGUAGGGCGCAAGCGUUAUCCGGAUUUAUUGGGCGUAAAGGGCUCGUAGGCGGCUCGUCGCGUCCGGUGUGAAAGUCCAUCGCUUAACGGUGGAUCUGCGCCGGGUACGGGCGGGCUGGAGUGCGGUAGGGGAGACUGGAAUUCCCGGUGUAACGG
rnacentral:rRNA from 1 species